GAUGAACGCUGGCGGCGUGCCUAACACAUGCAAGUCGAACGAAGCACCUUACCUGAUUCUUCGGUUGCAAGUUUGGUGACUGAGUGGCGGACGGGUGAGUAACGCGUGGGUAACCUGCCCUGUACAGGGGGAUAACAGCUGGAAACGGCUGCUAAUACCGCAUACGCGCACGAGGAGACAUCUCCUCGUGUGACAUACUCCGGUGGGACAGGAUGGGCCCGCGUCUGCUUAGCUGGUUGGCAGGGUAAUGGCCUAUCAAGGCAACGAUCAGUAGCCGGGAAGUGAGGCUGAGCCGCGACACUGGAACUAGGACACAGUCGGGAAUCCUACGGGAGGCAGCAGUGGGGAAUGUUGCAAAGUGGGGGGAGCGCUGAUGCUGCAACGCCGGGUGAGUGAAGAAAUAAGUCAGUAUGUAAAGCGCAAGUAGCAAGGAAGGUAAUGACGGUACCUAACUAGGAAGCUCCGGCUAACUACGUG
rnacentral:rRNA from 1 species